rnacentral:rRNA from 1 species
GACGAACGCUGGCGGCGUGCUUAACACAUGCAAGUCGAACGGGGACGCCCUUCGGGGUGGCUCAGUGGCGAACGGGUGAGUAACACGUGAGCAACCUGCCCCUGGCUCUGGGACAACCACUGGAAACGGUGGCUAAUACCGGAUACGACCCGGCUCGGCAGCGAGAGUGGGUGGACAGGUAGUCGUCUGGGGAUGGGCUCGCGGCCUAUCAGCUUGUUGGUGAGGUGAAGGCUCACCAAGGCGACGACGGGCAGCCCGCCUGCGAGGGCGAGCGGCCACACUGGGACUGAGACACGGCCCAGACUCGUACGGGAGGCAGCAGUGGGGAAUAGUGCACAAUGGGCGAGAGCCUGAUGCAGCGACGCCGCGUGAGGGAUGACGUCCUUCGGGUUGUAAACCUCUUUCAGCUCAGAAGAAGCGAAAGUGACGGUAGGGGCAGAAGAAGCACCGGCUAACUACGUG